UUUAUGGAGAGUUUGAUCCUGGCUCAGGAUGAACGCUGGCGGCGUGCCUAAUACAUGCAAGUCGAGCGAACGGACGAGAAGCUUGCUUCUCUGAUGUUAGCGGCGGACGGGUGAGUAACACGUGGAUAACCUACCUAUAAGACUGGGAUAACUUCGGGAAACCGGAGCUAAUACCGGAUAAUAUUUUGAACCGCAUGGUUCAAAAGUGAAAGACGGUCUUGCUGUCACUUAUAGAUGGAUCCGCGCUGCAUUAGCUAGUUGGUAAGGUAACGGCUUACCAAGGCAACGAUGCAUAGCCGACCUGAGAGGGUGAUCGGCCACACUGGAACUGAGACACGGUCCAGACUCCUACGGGAGGCAGCAGUAGGGAAUCUUCCGCAAUGGGCGAAAGCCUGACGGAGCAACGCCGCGUGAGUGAUGAAGGUCUUCGGAUCGUAAAACUCUGUUAUUAGGGAAGAACAUAUGUGUAAGUAACUGUGCACAUCUUGACGGUACCUAAUCAGAAAGCCACGGCUAACUACGUGCCAGCAGCCGCGGUAAUACGUAGGUGGCAAGCGUUAUCCGGAAUUAUUGGGCGUAAAGCGCGCGUAGGCGGUUUUUUAAGUCUGAUGUGAAAGCCCACGGCUCAACCGUGGAGGGUCAUUGGAAACUGGAAAACUUGAGUGCAGAAGAGGAAAGUGGAAUUCCAUGUGUAGCGGUGAAAUGCGCAGAGAUAUGGAGGAACACCAGUGGCGAAGGCGACUUUCUGGUCUGUAACUGACGCUGAUGUGCGAAAGCGUGGGGAUCAAACAGGAUUAGAUACCCUGGUAGUCCACGCCGUAAACGAUGAGUGCUAAGUGUUAGGGGGUUUCCGCCCCUUAGUGCUGCAGCUAACGCAUUAAGCACUCCGCCUGGGGAGUACGACCGCAAGGUUGAAACUCAAAGGAAUUGACGGGGACCCGCACAAGCGGUGGAGCAUGUGGUUUAAUUCGAAGCAACGCGAAGAACCUUACCAAAUCUUGACAUCCUUUGACAACUCUAGAGAUAGAGCCUUCCCCUUCGGGGGACAAAGUGACAGGUGGUGCAUGGUUGUCGUCAGCUCGUGUCGUGAGAUGUUGGGUUAAGUCCCGCAACGAGCGCAACCCUUAAGCUUAGUUGCCAUCAUUAAGUUGGGCACUCUAAGUUGACUGCCGGUGACAAACCGGAGGAAGGUGGGGAUGACGUCAAAUCAUCAUGCCCCUUAUGAUUUGGGCUACACACGUGCUACAAUGGACAAUACAAAGGGCAGCGAAACCGCGAGGUCAAGCAAAUCCCAUAAAGUUGUUCUCAGUUCGGAUUGUAGUCUGCAACUCGACUACAUGAAGCUGGAAUCGCUAGUAAUCGUAGAUCAGCAUGCUACGGUGAAUACGUUCCCGGGUCUUGUACACACCGCCCGUCACACCACGAGAGUUUGUAACACCCGAAGCCGGUGGAGUAACCUUUUAGGAGCUAGCCGUCGAAGAUGGGACAAAUGAUUGGGGUGAAGUCGUAACAAGGUAGCCGUAUCGGAAGGUGCGGCUGGAUCACCUCCUUU
rnacentral:rRNA from 1 species